AUGUUCCAUUUGGGUUCAGGACGCCUACUGUUUGUUUCCUGGAUUCAGCUUUGGAAAUUCAACAAAAGAAAAUUGAAUGCAUCAUUAGGCCUUAGCAAUUGUAAUCGAGACAACACUUCUUGCUUUGGGCCUAGCAUUGUAUUUUCUGGAGGAGAACUGCACUAUAGCAGGCUGAACUCAUAUUUCUUAUAUUUAGGUUUUUCGAUCUACUUGGAGUCUGGGCAUGGCAAUCAGCUUCCAGUGCCAACGAGGAAGUACAUCCAAAAUCUUCUCAAGGCUAACAUGAAGGGAACUUAUGGAUCAGAAUGGCCUUCAGAAGAGAAAAUUAAGCGCCGGGAAAUGGUUGCCCCAGAAGCACGAUAUAUCCUGAUCUGCCAAUAUGCAGACAGUGAUAUUGCCAAAUGUUUCAUGAAGCAAGAUUCAGGGGUGGAAUGUGCACAUGUGACAUGCCGUGGAGGCCGCUUGCUUGGUUUUGUACACUACAGAUUUGUUGUUGAAGAGGAUGUUCCUGUUCUUUAUGUGUAUGAGCUACAAUUGGAGUCUUCUGUCCACGGGAAGGGGCUGGGGAAGUUCCUAAUGCAGUUGAUUGAACUUAUAGCUUGCAAGAGCCAAAUGGGGGCCGUGAUGCUAACAGUUCAAAAAUCUAAUACAGAUGCUAUGGCUUUCUACAACAAUUUGGGAUAUGUAAUAUCCAGUACCUCGCCAUCACAAGUGGAUCCAUUGGUAUUACUUUACCAAGAAAUAGUCUCCACAAGAACAAGAUAUUCGUAUGUUGACUCCUUCAUUUCUCACAGAUUGGAAUUCAUAGAAGCUAUGAGAUCUUGUGCAAGACAUUUGAAUCUGAAGCCAAGUGCAAAUUGGAGGAAGGCAACUAAUGCACGGGGGAAUACAAUGCGACUGUGGUUCUACCUCUAUCUAUGGUUGCAUAACAAGCUCUGGCGCGAUGCAGCAGCCCAUGUUUGUGUGAUUUAUUUGGAGUAG
rnacentral:rRNA from 1 species